GACAUGAGGCCGGUCUCCCGGAGCAGCAGAAACCGCGGGCUGGCGGCCUGCUGGUGGA
rnacentral:SRP_RNA from 16 species